rnacentral:rRNA from 1 species
AACGCGAAGAACCUUACCCAGGCUCGAAAUGUAAUGGACAGUACCAGAAAUGGUAUGUUCCGCAAGGACUGUUAUAUAGGUGCUGCAUGGCUGUCGUCAGCUCGUGCCGUGAGGUGUUUGGUUAAGUCCAGCAACGAGCGCAACCCUUAUCAUUAGUUGCCAACACGCGAGGUGGGGACUCUAAUGAGACUGCCUGGGUUAACCAGGAGGAAGGUGAGGAUGACGUCAAGUCCGCAUGGCCUUUAUGUCUGGGGCUACACACGUGCUACAAUGGUCGGUACAGAAGGCAGCAAGACCGCAAGGUGGAGCAAAUCCGAAAAGCCGAUCACAGUUCAGAUUGUAGUCUGCAACUCGACUACAUGAAGUUGGAAUUGCUAGUAAUGACGAGUCAGCAACAUCGUCGUGAAUACGUUCCCGGGCCUUGUA